GAUGAACGCUAGCUACAGGCUUAACACGUGCAAGUCGAGGGGAAACGACAUCGAAAGCUUGCUUUUGAUGGGCGUCGACCGGCGCACGGGUGAGUAACGCGUAUCCAACCUGCCCAUCACUUGGGGAUAACCUUGCGAAAGUAAGACUAAUACCCAAUGAUAUCUCUAGAAGACAUCUGAAAGAGAUUAAAGAUUUAUCGGUGAUGGAUGGGGAUGCGUCUGAUUAGCUUGUUGGCGGGGUAACGGCCCACCAAGGCAACGAUCAGUAGGGGUUCUGAGAGGAAGGUCCCCCACAUUGGAACUGAGACACGGUCCAAACUCCUACGGGAGGCAGCAGUGAGGAAUAUUGGUCAAUGGGCGAGAGCCUGAACCAGCCAAGUAGCGUGCAGGAAGACGGCCCUAUGGGUGGUAAACUGCUUUUAGAAGGGAAUAAAGUGAGAGUCGUGACUCUUUUUGUAUGUACCUUAUGAAUAAGGACCGGCUAAUUCCGUG
rnacentral:rRNA from 1 species